rnacentral:rRNA from 1 species
CCGUUAUAACCGGCGAUACCCGAAUGGGGAAACCCAGUGUGACUCGUCACACUAUCAUUAACUGAAUCCAUAGGUUAAUGAGGCGAACCGGGGGAACUGAAACAUCUAAGUACCCCGAGGAAAAGAAAUCAACCGAGAUUCCCCCAGUAGCGGCGAGCGAACGGGGAGGAGCCCAGAGCCUGAAUCAGCAUGUGUGUUAGUGGAAGCGUCUGGAAAGGCGCGCGAUACAGGGUGACA